UACGAAGGGGGCUAGCGUUGCUCGGAAUGACUGGGCGUAAAGGGCGCGUAGGCGGAUGGCACAGUCAGAUGUGAAAUUCCCGGGCUUAACCUGGGGGCUGCAUUUGAUACGUGUGAUCUAGAGUGAGGAAGAGGGUCGUGGAAUUCCCAGUGUAGAGGUGAAAUUCGUAGAUAUCGGGAGGAACACCGGUGGCGAAGGCGGCGAUCUGGGGC
rnacentral:rRNA from 1 species